CCAGAGCGGGGAUGGUGAAAGCUACUGCCGGAAUGGAGGUGGUGACAGCUGCCUGAGUUGCCUUGGUGACACCUGCUGCCGGAGCUGCGUUGGUGACAGCUGCCGGAGUGGUGGUGGUGACAGCUGCCUCCAGAGUGGAGGUGGUGACAGCUGCUAAAGGAGUGGUGGUGGUGACAGCUGCUAAAGGAGUGUGGUGGUGACAGCUGCCUCCAGAGUGGAGGUGGUGACAGCUGCAGGAGUGGUGGUGGUG